rnacentral:rRNA from 1 species
UACGUAGGGUGCGAGCGUUUGUCCGGAAUUACUGGGCGUAAAGAGCUUGUAGGUGGUUUGUCGCGUUGUUCGUGAAAUCUCACGGCUUAACUGUGAGCGUGCGGGCGAUACGGGCAGACUAGAGUACUGCAGGGGAGACUGGAAUUCCUGGUGUAGCGGUGGAAUGCGCAGAUAUCAGGAGGAACACCGGUGGCGAAGGCGGGUCUCUGGGCAGUAACUGACGCUGAGAAGCGAAAGCGUGGGGAGCAAACAGG